UGUUUUUUAAGCUGUGUGUUCGGAGGUUUAGUAUAUGAAGCUUGCAAAGACAAUGCACCUAAUGAAGCAUGCUUCGAUUGUACAUACCCUGUUAUGAAUCAAUUUUGUCAAUCAACAUGCAAUACAUGUGUCAACAUUAACGGUACAAAUAAGUCUGUUAGUGCAACCAGCAUUCUUUUUGGUCAACCUAGA
rnacentral:lncRNA from 1 species